CACUUCACGCAUGUGAUGGUGGUGGAAAGUUCUGGCGGUGGAGGAUGAGCUCGCGGCCUAUCAGCUUGUUGGUGGGGUAAUGGCCCACCAAGGCAACGACGGGUAGCCGGCCUGAGAGGGUGACCGGCCACACUGGGACUGAAACACGGCCCAGACUCCUACGGGAGGCAGCAGUGGGGAAUAUUGGACAAUGGGCGAAAGCCUGAUCCAGCAACGCCGCAUGAGGGAUGACGGCCUUCGGGUUGUAAACCUCUUUCACCUAUGACGAAGCGAAAGUGACGGUAGUAGGAGAAGAAGCACCGGCCAACUACGUGCCAGCAGCCGCGGUAAUACGUAGGGUGCGAGCGUUGUCCGGAAUUAUUGGGCGUAAAGGGCUCGUAGGCGGUUUGUCGCGUCGGGAGUGAAAACUCAGGGCUUAACCCUGAGCCUGCUUCCGAUACGGGCAGACUAGAGGUAUGCAGGGGAGAACGGAAUUCCUGGUGUAGCGGUGAAAUGCGCAGAUAUCAGGAGGAACACCGGUGGCGAAGGCGGUUCUCUGGGCAUUACCUGACGCUGGGGAGCGAAAGUGUGGGGAGCGAACAGGAUUAGAUACCCUGGUAGUCCACACCGUAAACGUUGGGCGCUAGGUGAGGACUCAUUCCACGAGUUCCGUGCCGCAGCUAACGCAUUAAGCGCCCCGCCUGGGGAGUACGGCCGCAAGGCUAAAACUCAAAGGAAUUGACGGAAUCGAAUU
rnacentral:rRNA from 1 species